rnacentral:lncRNA from 1 species
CGGGCAGCUGAGCGUUUAUGUGACUAUGAGGACGACUCUGACGCCGUGAGUUCUUGUUUUUCUGAUAUUCCAGUCAAACCACCAGAAGGCUUUUGUGAAACACAGUUUUUUUCUGUAUCGCAGGGCUCUGGUGACUAUGGCAGCGGCGAUGGUGAGAGGAGGCAGAUGGGAGGCAGCGUGAAGACCACCCCUCCACCUUUCCGUCCACUGCCUGAACCUCCGCUGAUUUCCUCACACAUAAACACACUCGCACAAACAGGUACAAUCGGUGCUAAAGGUGAAAAAGGAGACAGAGGAGAGAAAGGCUCAAAGGGGGACCAGGGCCCUGUAGGAGCAAAGGGAGAUUCAGGUAUCAGCUCUGGCUCUAAUUUCUCUGCACAGGGUGGAGUCCAAGGACAGAAGGGUGAAAAAGGUGAAAAGGGUGAUCUUGGCAAAGGCUACGCUGGUAAAAAAGGAGAUCGUGGGGCUCAGGGGCCUCCCGGACCACCUGGUCCUCCAGGACCUGCAGCUGAGGUGGUCCGACUUGGAGAUGGCUCUAUUGUGCAGCAGAUGGCCGGACCCCCUGGACCACCAGGACCGCCAGGGGUGGAUGGGCCUGCAGGACCUCCAGGAGCUGAUGGGGAGCCUGUGAGUACAAAGAGGUUUACAGCUGUUCAGUGUUUGGAGGUUCAUGUUGCUCAGAGGUUGUUCAUUAAUCUUUCAGGGUGA